rnacentral:rRNA from 1 species
UACGUAGGGGGCAAGCGUUGUCCGGAUUUAUUGGGCGUAAAGAGCGUGUAGGCGGUUAGGUAGGUCCGUUGUGAAAACUCGAGGCUCAACCUCGAGACGCCGAUGGAAACCCCCUAACUAGAGUCCGGAAGAGGAGAGUGGAAUUCCUGGUGUAGCGGUGAAAUGCGCAGAUAUCAGGAAGAACACCCGUGGCUAAGGCGGCUCUCUAGUACGGUACUGACGCGGAGACGCGAAAGCGUGGGGAGCGAACAGG